UAUACCUUAAAAUUGAUCUCUCUUAUGUUGGUGUGCCUGUGUGCACGCAUGUCUGUGUGCAUGCAUGUGGAUAUUAGCUAUUUACUUAUUCUGUUGGCAUUAAUAGUUUCUAGUAUAACGUGCUUAACUUUUCUUUUCUUUCCUGCAGAAUCGUUUUUCAGAUGAACCUGACAAGUACUGUUCGAUUUUGGACAUCCUGAAAAUCCAUAGGACUAAUUGCAUGUUCAUUGAUGACGUUUAGCAAGAGGUUUUAGGUUUUCUUUUUUUUUUGUUUGUAUAAGCUUGAUUGUGCGAGUAUUUAUUUUUGGAUAUAUCUUGACUUGAAGUUUCCAGCUGUCCAUAUUACUUGGCACCAUGAUGAUUUGCUUUCAGCGUUAAAGUCUCUCUUACCUGCUGGACAUGGAGCAGAGUCUAUUCAUCAGACAUCGUCUUGUAGAUCUUUAGGGUACCAGAACGAAGACAAUGAAGAAUGAAAUCCUAGCAAAGCAGAUUUAGAGCUCGAUCUUUCUAAUUGUCAGCAGUGUACCUUUGUUCCUGCUUCCUGCCUGAGAAUUAUCAAAUGCCUCCUGCAAGCAACGGACUUGAGCUGGAUGCAUCGGUACUGAAUAAUGUUGUGGUAUCCAAAACUUCUGGAUGUAAGGAUUCUUCUAAGGACAGGCAAAGAAACAAGUAUGAAAAAAUGGUUUGAGUCAGAUAUGCUAUUAGAGAUUAUUAGUGCAACUACUGGGGUUGAAGGAUUUGCUAGCAAAGCUCGAGGAUGACAAAGAUGAACUAGAAAUCAAUUUCCAAUCGAAGGUCACUUUCCUUAAUGGAUACAUGGAAACUAUAGGCUGGACGUUGUGGAUCAGCUACAGGAGAACCCCGGUGUGGUAUUGCGUCGCAUAUUAAUUCCUUUGAAGCAGAAGCACAAAGAGUGGGUGAUAUGUAUGAAGACGGUGCAGAAGUGCUCGACUGCAAAAGGUGACUUUGUUAUGAAAGGUACCAUUUAUUUCUUCGUGGACUUUGUCUUUUCUUACAUUACUUUUACUCUGAGCAGAUUACAUAUGCAGUAAGGUUAGAAGGAACAAAUGGAAACAUCUACA